GCCUUCCCUGUGGCUCAGUUGGUAGAGCAUGGUGUUCGCAACGCCAGCAUGGUGUGUGCAACGCCAGCGUUGUGGGUUCGAUUCCCACGGGGGGCC